CAUAAUAAUCUUAAUUACAAAUCAUCCUCAUCAUCUUCACUUUCAACUCGUACUUGAAAACCUUGUAGUCCCUAUAAUACUCCAAAGCAAGUCAUAAUCAAUCUCAACAAGUGCAUUAUAUCCAUUCAUUUUAAAGAGUGCUAGGGCGGAGAAAGUCCCCAUAGUUAUGCUAUCUUCAUUAAUUUCAAAAUCUCCCAUAUCAUGUUGUUGUUGAGCUGCU
rnacentral:lncRNA from 1 species